rnacentral:lncRNA from 1 species
GCCAGAUUUCAUUGUUCACUACUACAUAACCCAUCUUCAGUACAAGAUCUAAACUACAUAAACCCAUAUCAUUACAGGAGGAACAUAGAGCUACGAAGGCGAAGGAAGAGCCCCUCCCCUUGGACGCCCUUUCAACGGGAGCCGGAAGAAGCGGGGAUCCUGCAGCGCCUGCCUCUUCCCCUUCGGCCCAAGAAAGGCGCCUGGAGGAGAGAAGCGGGGCUUUUGGGCCGCCUCCUGGAUCGGGACCUGGACGGAGGAAGGGGUGAGACUCAGCUGAUUGCUCUUUGCUGUUUUUGGACCCAAAAACCAAUAACCAAAUCCCAGAUCCCUCCAACAUUUGCAAGUCAUUGGCUCCUGAAUCAAGGUUCCAUUGUGAUGGACAAGAGUGGUUCCUGACCUGUCAGUCACAACAGGAAGGGGUGAGACUGAGCUGAAUUCUCUUUGCUGUUUUUAGGACCAAAACUGAAGAACCAAAUCCCAGAUCCCUCCAACAUUUGCAAGGUCAGUGAGAUUUCAAGGGGUGGCUUAAGUAGCCUUGCCAACCACUCUCUUCUCUCAGUUUCCGUGGCCCAGCAGGGAUUUGAAUUCAGGUCCCCUGGUUUCCAGUUGGUACUCCGUCCACGACACCACACUUCCUCUUUGAACAUGUGCAAAGUGUUGGUGUUUGGGGAGAUGGUUUUCUUUCAUCUUAUUUAGGUGUAGGAUUUUCUUAGAAAAAAUCUCAAUCCUGCUCACCCCAACCCAGGAUGUCAAUGUUUAUUCCUGCCAUCUCCUGUUUGACCACAUCCACCUUACCAAGGUUCAUGGAUCUUACAUUCCAGAUUCCUAUGCAGUAUUUUUCUUUCCAGCAUCAGAUUUUCCUUUUACUUCCAGG